UAAGACGAACCGUCCAAACGUUAUUCGGAAUUACUGGGCUUAAAGGGUGCGUAGGCGGCUUGGCAAGUUGGGUGUGAAAUCCCUCGGCUCAACCGGGGAACUGCGCUCAAAACUGCUUGGCUAGAGGGAGAUAGAGGUGAGCGGAACUAACGGUGGAGCGGUGAAAUGCGUUGAUAUCAUUAGGAACACCUGUGGCGAAAGCGGCUCACUGGAUCUUUUCUGACGCUGAGGCACGAAAGCUAGGGUAGCGAACGGGAUUAGAUACCCCGGUAGUCCUAGCCGUAAACGAUGAGCACUAGGUUGGAGGCUCCUCCAUAGGCUUCCGACCGAAGCGAAAGUGUUAAGUGCUCCGCCUGGGGAGUAUGGUCGCAAGGCUG
rnacentral:rRNA from 1 species